rnacentral:rRNA from 1 species
AUACGGAGGGUGCAAGCGUUAUUCGGAAUCACUGGGCGUAAAGGACGCGUAGGCGGGAAAGCAAGUCUGAUGUGAAAUCCUAUGGCUUAACCAUAGAACUGCAUUGGAAACUGCUUACCUAGAGUAUGGGAGGGGGAGAUGGAAUUAGUGGUGUAGGGGUAAAAUCCGUAGAUAUCACUAGGAAUACCUAAAGCGAAGGCGAUCUCCUGGAACAAUACUGACGCUAAGGCGUGAAAGCGUGGGGAGCAAACGGGAUUAGAAACCCUAGUAGUCC